AACGAACGCUGGCGGCAUGCCUAACACAUGCAAGUCGAACGAGACCUUCGGGUCUAGUGGCGCACGGGUGCGUAACGCGUGGGAACCUGCCCUUAGGUUCGGAAUAACUCCCCGAAAGGGGUGCUAAUACCGGAUAAUGUCUUCGGACCAAAGAUUUAUCGCCUUUGGAUGGGCCCGCGUUGGAUUAGCUAGUUGGUAGGGUAAAAGCCUACCAAGGCGACGAUCCAUAGCUGGUCUGAGAGGAUGAUCAGCCACACUGGGACUGAGACACGGCCCAGACUGCGGCGGGAGGAAGGAGGGGGGAAGGGGGAAGAGCGGGCACAUGCCCGAACGAGAAAGGGCGAGUGAGAGAUGUAGCCCUGUGUGUCAUAAGUUUCUUGUACCGGGGAGAAUACUAACAGUACAGGGAGAAUACGCCCCGGCACCCCCCGUGACGGCAGCGGCGAGAACAGGCGGACGACCAACCUUCUGAAC
rnacentral:rRNA from 1 species